UGGGGAAUAUUGCACAAUGGGCGCAAGCCUGAUGCAGCCAUGCCGCGUGUGUGAAGAAGGCCUUCGGGUUGUAAAGCACUUUCAGCGAGGAGGAAGGUGGUGAGCUUAAUACGCUCAUCAAUUGACGUUACUCGCAGAAGAAGCACCGGCUAACUCCGUGCCAGCAGCCGCGGUAAUACGGAGGGUGCAAGCGUUAAUCGGAAUUACUGGGCGUAAAGCGCACGCAGGCGGUUUGUUAAGUCAGAUGUGAAAUCCCCGGGCUCAACCUGGGAACUGCAUUUGAAACUGGCAAGCUAGAGUCUCGUAGAGGGGGGUAGAAUUCCAGGUGUAGCGGUGAAAUGCGUAGAGAUCUGGAGGAAUACCGGUGGCGAAGGCGGCCCCCUGGACGAAGACUGACGCUCAGGUGCGAAAGCGUGGGGCAGCAAACAGGAUUAGAUACCCUGGUAGUCCACGCUGUAAACGAUGUCGAUUUGGAGGUUGUGCCCUUGAGGCGUGGCUUCCGGAGCUAACGCGUUAAAUCGACCGCCUGGGGAGUACGGCCGCAAGGUUAAAACUC
rnacentral:rRNA from 1 species